rnacentral:rRNA from 1 species
UACAGAGGGUGCGAGCGUUAAUCGGAAUCAUUGGGCGUAAAGCGCGCGUAGGUGGCUUCGUAAGUCCGUUGUGAAAGUCAAAGGCUCAACCUUUGAAUGCCGAUGGAUACUGCGAAGCUAGAGUACGGAAGAGGCGAGUGGAAUUCCUGGUGUAGCGGUGGAAUGCGCAGAUAUCAGGAGGAACACCAAUAGCGAAGGCAGCUCGCUGGGACGUUACUGACACUAAGGCGCGAAAGCGUGGGGAGCAAACAGGG